AUGUGGAUCAUAUCUUGGAUGAUCUUCCUCUGUCCUCCCCCAAAUAUUGGCAGCUGCUCUUCCCUUUUGAUUCUCUCCAGAUGUGUUCUGCGCUGUGGUGUGUUACAGGAGAUCUGUGGAGGGGUUAGGGUAGUUGAGUUUGGGUCCUUGCGUAGGAUGCAAAUUGAAGGGCAGUUGUUUCCUGUUUUCUCUCUUUUUGUUAGGCGCAGGUGUUUUGUGGUUCAGGAGGGCCUUGUUAGUUGCGUAGUUGAGCAGGAAUCGGUUCUAUUUUGGUUUAGUGAGAAUCGGGUCAGAAUAUUUAGCCCGAUCCGUUUUGUUGGACAUAUAAACAUACGAUUGUCGGCCUUGUUUGGACAUACAGGUGUCAUAUGUUUAUUUGUCAGGAAAUUUGACUGA
rnacentral:rRNA from 1 species